rnacentral:rRNA from 1 species
AACCGCAAAGGGCUCAGUAAACCAGUUUUAAUUUACUAGAGUUUUUACGUUUCGUACGUGGAUACCUGUGGUAAUUCUAGAGCUAAUACAUGCAAUAAAGUCCGGACCAGCAAUGGAAAGGACGCUUUUAUUAGAUCAAAACCAUUCGCUCAAUUAAUUUCGGGCGUUUAUUUGAUGAAUCUAGAUAACACAUUUGAUCGUACAGUCUUGUACUGACGACGUCUCUUUCAAACGCCUGACUUAUCAGCUGUCGAUGGUAGACUCUGUGUCUACCAUGGCCCUCACGGGUAACGGGGAAUCAGGGUUCGAUUCCGGAGAGGGAGCCUGAGAAACGGCUACCACAUCCAAGGAAGGCAGCAGGCACGCAAAUUACCCACUCCCGGCACGGGGAGGUAGUGACAAAAAAUAACGAUACGGGACUCUAUUGAGGCCCCGUAAUCGGAAUGAGUACACUUUAAAUCCUUUAACAAGGAUCCAUUGGAGGGCAAGUCUGGUGCCAGCAGCCGCGGUAAUUCCAGCUCCAAUAGCGUAUAUUAAAGUUGUUGCGGUUAAAAAGCUCGUAGUUGGUUCUGCGUGCCGCGCUGUCGGUUCGCCGCCUGUCGGUGUAACUGGCAUGUCGCGGCAUGUCCUGUCGGUGGUGAACGGGAUCCCCGGUGUUAAACUUGCUUCUGUGAGUUUUUCAACGUGCGUGAUGUCGUUUGCCGAUCUCUCCUACUCCGGUGCUCUUC